GUAUAAUGGACAGUUUCCAAUUAAGUGAGCAAUCGUGAGGGUUGUUCUACACCGGUCGCACUGUCGUGGAUGCUCACGUUUAUAUAUAUGCUUAUGCGUGAUACCAGUAUGUCCAAUUCGUAGUCGGUGCAUCUUCACAUUUAUUUCUCUGUCCCCGUCGCGCACCGUGUACAGUUUACCAACGUUCGGCUUUAUUUGCAUUAGAUACUUUUUCGCAUCUGUAGCCAUAACAAAGUUGACGUCCACACGAUCUUUACAUAUCGCCGUUCGAGCAGCACGAUCCGCCUGUUAAUUUCCAGGAAUUCCGACGUGACCUGGUACCCACAUGAAAACUAUUUCAAUGCGUUCGAGUAUGGGGUUCAAGGCAGAUUGACACCUUCUAGUCAUAACGUCAUCAGAAAAUAUUUGCGACAGAUUAUUGAUAACGCUCAGGCAAUCGGUGACAAUUAAAAAUUUCCCUUCAACAACCAUGGAACAAUACAUAAUCGCCUGCCACAGCGCAUAUUGCUCAGCAAAAAGUAUGGAAGAGAACCGACAUAGUUUCCAUUCAUGUGGUAUACCAUCGAUGACGAUUGCGCUCCCAGCACCACGUUCAGUUUUUCCCCCAUCCGUGUAUAUGAUCUCAUGUGCAGGAUACUGGUUACAAAUGCUUUGGAACUCCCGUAGCAGUAUAGGCAGAGUUAUAUUCCGCCAUUCAAGAUGUUCGCAAAACCGCACAUAAGAAGGGCGCGUGAUGGUCGGACG